CCCCACUCCUUCACUUCCCCUCCCCUCCCCUCUCUUUUCUCCCUUCCACUACCAUUCCCCCUUGCUUUAAGGGAAACUUACCUUUCCUGCUCUUCACUGACUUCUUGAUUCUCGUGGCUUUGGCUGCUAUUUUGCCUUGCUUUGCUCUGCUGUGCUAUGCACUGCUUUCUCUGUAUUUCUUGCCAUCCACUCCUUCCUUCGAGUUAUUCUUUACUUUUUGACUUGGCUUUUUUCUUCUUUUCUCUUUACCUUUCUUCUCUUGUCAUUAUUCGUUUUUCCUUUUGUUUUUUCUUUUUCAUCUACUGUUUUUUCUUUUCUUUUUUUCUUUCUUUUUUUCAUAUUUUUCUGUCUUCUUUUUUUUAUUUUCUUUUCUUUUUCUUUUCUCUUUUCUUUAUCUUUUUCUUUUUUUCUUUUCUCUUUUUUCUCUUUUUUGUUCAUUUUCUUUUUUCUUUUCUCUUUUUUCUCUUUUUCUUUUUUCUUCUUUUUACUCUUUUUUUCAUUUUUUCUUUUUUCUUUUCAUUUUUUCUCUUUUUCUUAUUUUUUUCUUUCUCUUUUUUUCAUAUUUUUUGUUCUUAUUUUUUCUUUUCUUUUUUCAUCAUAGGUUUGCCUUCAGCCCUCCCCUCAGCCCUUCCCUCCGCUCUGCUCUUCACCCAUCCCCUCCCCAUCCCCAUCCCUUCUUUCUCCCUUACCCCCCCCUUUCCCCUUGCCUUUGCCUCCCAUUACCUUGCCUGCCCUUCACUUACCUUCUCCUCACUUCCUGCUUCUUGAUGCUCUGGGCUUUUGCUGCUACUCACGCCAAACCUCAACACUUGCCUACUCUGCUUGCUGCUCUGCCAAGUUGCUCUCUACUCUGCUCGCAGCUUCACGCCUACUGCCUGCCCUUCUCUAUCCCCUUCUCGUGCCCUUCAGGCUUUUCCUCCCCUUGCUGAGCAAGGCCAUGCCCGGUAGCUACCCUUGAACCUCCUCCGCCCUUUGCCUUCCUCCACAGAGAUGCUUGCUUCUGGCCAGCACUCCUGCCCGGUGCCUAGCCCACCACCUCAUCUCUUGGGAGAUAGCAAGGUGGCCUGUAGCUACCCACACCUCCUCCCGGGCAUGGCUUCUCAGCUUUGCUUCAAGCCCAGAACCCAAAGGAGCUCCUCUUACCUUUUGGCCCACGUUCUUCUCCUCCCGCGCAGCUCCUGUGGCAAGCAGGGGCACAGCUCUGGACAGAUUCCUCCAUUCCUGCAAGGUUGCUUUUUGUCAUUCUUUGCCUUCUUUUGCUUUGCUCUCUUUUGCUGUGCUAUGCCUAGCUUUCCUACUUGCUUGCUCUGUAUUUACAUGCAUUGCUUUUUACUUGUUAUUCUCUUUUUUCCUCUGUUUCAUUAUUUUCCCUUCAACCCUCCCCCUUCCCUCACCCUACCUCCAAUUUUUCCUUCCC
rnacentral:lncRNA from 7 species